rnacentral:rRNA from 1 species
GUUCCUUGGAACAGGGCGUCAUAGAGGGUGAGAAUCCCGUACGUGCCCGGCAAUCAACCCCGUGCGAGGCCCUUUCGACGAGUCGAGUUGUUUGGGAAUGCAGCUCUAAAUGGGUGGUAAAUUUCAUCUAAAGCUAAAUACCGGCCAGAGACCGAUAGCGCACAAGUAGAGUGAUCGAAAGAUGAAAAGCACUUUGAAAAGAGAGUUAAAAAGUACGUGAAAUUGUUGAAAGGGAAGCGCUUGCAACCAGACUCGCGCGCGGGUGUUCAAUCGUCCUUCGGGGCGGUGCGCUCUCCCGUGCCCGGRCCAGCAUCGGUUCGGGCGACCGGAUAAAGGCCUCGGGAACGUAGUUCUCUUCGGGGAAUGUUAUAGCCCGGGGUGCAAUGCGGCCAGCUCGGACCGAGGACCGCGCUUUUGCUAGGAUGCUGGCGUAAUGGUUGCCAGCGACCCGUCUUGAAACACGUAAGAAUUUUCGCCCUACCGUAAAUUUCGAAAUGCUAACCGAUUCGCAGGGACCAAGGAGUCGACCAACUCCGCGAGUGUUUGGGCGUUAAACCCAUGCGCGCAAUGAAAGUGAAUAUGGUACGAGCCUCGGCGCAGUAUCGACCGAUCUUGAAAUUUAUGGAUGGAUUUGAGUACGAGCGAAGUUGGUCGGACCCGAAAGGUAUGCUAACGUCGAAUCUUGUUUUUGUCGACCCUGCUAACUCUGCCCCAGAUGGUGAGCUAUGCGUGAAUAGGGUGAAGCCAGAGGAAACUCUGGUGGAGGCUCGCAGCGGUUCUGACGUGCAAAUCGAUCGUCAAAUUUGCGUAUAGGGGCGAAAGGUAAGGAUAAAAUUCACCCUGCCGCCGAUGGAAUUGCUAACGGUUGGUCCAGACUAAUCGAACCAUUUGGACACCGAACUAGGUGGUUAAUUUCGAAAGAGUCACCGGGAGCAAUUCCCGGGGGCGACAUCGCUAUUCGCAUGGAUUCUCUCGCCCCGAGGGAAACAUGUACCGGACUCCGCCGAGUUCGAUCACAGACCAGAUGGCGGUGGCCCGCGGACGCGGGUUCUAACAUGGUCGGGCCCCUCCCCGCCCCAGGGGAGCACGGAACGGCGCUAGUAGCUGGUUCCUGUCGAAGUUUCCCUCAGGAUAGCAGCAACGAACACAGUCUCAUGAGGUAGAGCGAACGAUUAGAGGCCUUGGGGCAGA